rnacentral:rRNA from 1 species
GCUCAGGAUGAACGCUGGCGGCGUGCCUAAUACAUGCAAGUCGAGCGAACAGAUAAGGAGCUUGCUCCUUUGACGUUAGCGGCGGACGGGUGAGUAACACGUGGGUAACCUACCUAUAAGACUGGAAUAACUCCGGGAAACCGGGGCUAAUGCCGGAUAACAUGUUGAACCGCAUGGUUCUACAGUGAAAGACGGUCUUGCUGUCACUUAUAGAUGGACCCGCGCCGUAUUAGCUAGUUGGUGGGGUAACGGCCUACCAAGGCGACGAUACGUAGCCGACCUGAGAGGGUGAUCGGCCACACUGGAACUGAGACACGGUCCAGACUCCUACGGGAGGCAGCAGUAGGGAAUCUUCCGCAAUGGGCGAAAGCCUGACGGAGCAACGCCGCGUGAGUGAUGAAGGUCUUCGGAUCGUAAAGCUCUGUUGUUAGGGAAGAACAAAUGUGUAAGUAACUGUGCACAUCUUGAC